rnacentral:tRNA from 1 species
ACGCUCGGUUAAGCUGCCCUCCGAAGGCAGAGGCCAAAGGUUCGAAUCCUUUCGGGUGCG